rnacentral:rRNA from 1 species
CCCCACUGCUAUCGGGAUGGGACUAAGACAUGCUAGUCGAGCGUCUCCAAGCUAUGGAAGAGACGCGGCACACAGCUCAGUAACACGUGGCUAACCUGCCCUUGGGACAAGGACAACUCCGGGAAACUGGGGCUAAUCCCUGAUAAGUGAGAACUCCUGGAAUGGAUUCUCGCUCAAAGGACGUUUAGACCAUGCUUCUAGGCGUCGCCCAAGGAGGGGGCCGCGACCGAUCAGGUUGUUGGUGAGGUAACGGCUCACCAAGCCUUUAACCGGUACGGGCCGUGAGAGCGGAAGCCCGGAGAUGGGCACUGAGACAAGGGCCCAGGCCCUACGGGGCGCAGCAGUCGCGAAAACUCCGCAAUGCGCGAAAGCGUGACGGGGCUACCCCGAGUGCCGUCCGCUGAGGAUGGCUUUUCCCCGGUGUAAUGAGCCGGGGGAAUAAGGAGAGGGCAAGUCUGGUGUCAGCCGCCGCGGUAAUACCAGCUCUCCGAGUGGUAGGGACGAUUAUUGGGCUUAAAGCGUCCGUAGCCGGCUUAGCAAGUCUCCUGUUAAAUUCAGCGACCUAAUCGUUGAGCCGCGGGAGAUACUACUAGGCUAGGAGGCGGGAGAGGCCGACGGUAUUCUCGGGGUAGGGGUGAAAUCCUAUAAUCCCGGGAGGACCACCAGUGGCGAAGGCUGUCGGCUAGAACGCGCUCGACGGUGAGGGACGAAAGCUGGGGGAGCGAACCGGAUUAGAUACCCGGGUAGUCCCAGCUGUAAACGAUGCGGGCUAGGUGUUGGGGUGGCUACGAGCCACUUCAGUGCCGCAGGGAAGCCAUUAAGCCCGCCGCCUGGGGAGUACGGCCGCAAGGCUGAAACUUAAAGGAAUUGGCGGGGGAGCACCACAAGGCGUGAAAGCUUGCGGUUC